rnacentral:tRNA from 1 species
GGCCCCGUAGCGCAGCGGCAGCGCAAGUGCCUUUUAAGCACCUGGUCGCAGGUUCGAAUCCUGCCGGGGUCA